rnacentral:rRNA from 1 species
GACGAACGCUGGCGGCGUGCCUAAUACAUGCAAGUCGAGCGAAGUUUUUCUGGUGCUUGCACCGGAAAAACUUAGCGGCGAACGGGUGAGUAACACGUAAAGAACCUGCCUCAUAGACUGGGACAACUAUUGGAAACGAUAGCUAAUACCGGAUAACAGCAUUAACUGCAUGGUUGAUGUUUAAAAGUUGGUUUUGCUAACACUAUGAGAUGGCUUUGCGGUGCAUUAGCUAGUUGGUGGGGUAAAGGCUUACCAAGGCGACGAUGCAUAGCCGACCUGAGAGGGUGAUCGGCCACACUGGGACUGAGACACGGCCCAGACUCCUACGGGAGGCAGCAGUAGGGAAUCUUCCGCAAUGGGCGAAAGCCUGACGGAGCAACGCCGCGUGAGUGAAGAAGGAUUUCGGUUCGUAAAGCUCUGUUGUUAGGGAAGAAUGAUUGUGUAGUAACUAUACACAGUAGAGACGGUACCUAACCAGAAAGCCACGGCUAACUACGUG